CUUCAACAUGGCUGGGUAUUUAUGUAGCUUGGCAAGGCAAUUUUGAGUCAUGGGUGAAGUACCCUUUAUGUAUAAGAUUGAUGGCGCGUGUAAUUUGGGAUCCUCAUUUUGGUCUAUCGGAGGUGAAAGCAUUUACUUGAGGGGUGCAAAUAUCUUCCUUUUCCCAUUAUCAAUGGAAUUUCCCCGAAAGCAUCUCCAUCAACAGAUUGAAUCGUGGAUGUUAGCACCACCAGAAACACCGGUAUGUGAAGAUUCGUAGGAAGUGAUAUUUAUUCUACAACAACAACAACAAUAUCAGUUGAAUUUGGGGUUUUUUAAAUGGAUCUAUUUUGGGGGUUGUUCGAUGCAAAUCUGUAUUGUUCUUGGCAGUUUGAUUCACAUAUUAAGAAUUGACAUCAGCAAGGUUCAAAAGGAGAUGAAAUUGGUUAAAUCGAUGGUGUUUACACAGCAACAUCGAUAGAUUUCUGGUUUUGGAGAGAAAUUAACAUAAACAAGGAGAAGAUGAUACAAACUUUAGAUAGUUUGAGUUCGAUCUGUGGUGUUUUGUGGUUGAGGUUCAAGCCAGCUAUUUCAAUUUCUCUAAACAGUACAUCAACAGAUUUUGGGAGAUCAGGGUCGGGUUUGACGUGGUCUGAAAUUGUAUAGCUCGUUGACAAAUUCUUGAGCUGGAGGAAAGGAACUGAGAUUUAAAAUCAGGUGAUGAAAUAGUUUCCGGUGAUGAUGGCUUGUGCCUUCAAUUAUCAAGAGAAUAACCAUGAACCUAUCUUCAACAUGCGGCAUUCAAAUAUGAUUUCACAGUAGCAACAAUGGGUAUUUGGGGGUUUCACUGUGUUGGUCGUAUCGUACGGGCAGUUAUCGAAAUUUCAAUGAAGAUUAUGACAACGACCAAGUUAGGGUUUAUAUCAAUGAAGAUUUGAGUUGUAUUCUGUAUGAAUUUGAUACCAGAAGUGUUGACCGAUUGAAUCUACAGUGGUGGUAGUUGGUUGAGCACUUGAGCUAGAGCUGGUAAGGAAAGUGUUUCUUCCUUGGUCAUGGAUGUGAAUAGAACAGAUGGGUUGUUGUCAUCUCGAAGUUCUACAUGAAUUUGUGAAGGAAUUUGUGGAUUUUUGAAGAGAUGGUUUUAAAUAAGAAAAGAUGAUUAACUGCUGUUGUUGGUGAA